UAUUUACAUGAAACAUUUCAUUUACGUAACAAGGACAAAGACCGAGAGUCUACUUUUCCUUGUUAUGUUUUGAGUUUUUCACGCUUUC